CACAUGUGAUCGGCUUGCAGGACGAUGCGACGACAAGCUCGACUUUGUUUCAUCUAUUUCCAUAUUCUUUUUGCGUCUUGUAGAGAAGUCGGCCCGUGGGAGGAUGAGCUCGCGGCGAGGCGUCGUGAUAGCAACCCCCUUCCACGAGGAGGAGGAGGAGGUUGAUCCCUUCUAGGUUUAUCGUCUAAGGAUUUUGUCAGAUCCGAUGCGGUGCGGUUACUUCGGGUGGCUUUUUCUGGUAGCAGUGACAGAGGCAUGCAAUGGAAGGUCUCCCUAACCCUAAGUUACUUAAAGGCAAGGAUUUGCCCUUUUGUUAAUGGCUAUUGUCUAGGGAGAUGUUUUGUACUCGCCCAUGGAUGGUCAUCAAGUUCAAAGCAAUGUUCGUUCUCCUUCCUGACUGACUUUUAUAUUGUAGAUGUUUCGGGCUUUAAUUUUAAGAAGGCUUCUCUAUUUCAUAGGUCGAUUAAUUGUCAGGAUGUUGGGUAAUUCCUAUUAUCUGAGCUAUUAGUGUGAUCUAAUUUAGCUUCUUGUUAAAUAUUCCAGUGGAUCUGAAAGAAAUUUGCUAACUGAAGCGGACACAUUUUUGUAGUCAUCAUCUUGAUGCUGGAACCUGCCUGUAACAUUUGUGAGGUCAGAUAAGUAGGAAAAUUAUGGUGCUUCAAUGGGACUCCAUCUUAUGGUGUGGCAGUCUUCAGUUAGUUUAGAACAACAACUGCUAUAAAUGAUCAAUUUGUGAAAUUCUAGUACUAACAAAUGUGUAUUUGGAAGUGUUAUUUUCACAUUGAUGGAGGUGCCACAGAUUGAUGUUUGCCAUUAAUUCAGGUUGUGAACUUUUGACCUAGGCAGACAUGAAUUGUCUCUGCAGACGUUCUUGCAAACUAGUGUGUUAAAAAAAUGAUCAAUUUUUUGCUUUUUGUUAUGUGUCAAAUUCUCUCACAUUCUUGGGGUUCUCUUUGUUCAUUCUUGUAGGUUUCUGCAGAGGGUGACUCAGUUGUGCAAGUAGAACAUCAGGGACUGAGACAAAAUCAGUCCCUUCGUUCAUUCAGUAUUUCUAUGGUAUGAUAGAAGCAGUGGUGAUGUGUGGGUGAUGUCAGACAAUGGAUUUUCCAAGGAACGAUGCCAGUCUGAACAUAUGCUUCUAAGGUAUGGGGUCUAGAAUUUUAGUACAAGCUUCUGCUUCAUAGAUUUAACUUGUGGCUAGAACUGUCUUAAAGGGGGACCUCUGGAAUAGUAUCUAUAGAUUAAGAGUGGUGAUGCUGGAAAUCCGUGGAAGCAGGAAGCCCACUAUUUUUGCUCACUUUUCCAGUGGCUUGAAAUGACAUGCAACUGGUUUGAUUCUUCUGUUCCUUUGAUUCCUCUCUCUCUCUCUCUCUCUCUCUCUCUCUCUCUCUCUCUCUCUCUCUCUCAAGAAUGCUCAUGUUACUUUGUUGGUGUCAUGCAUCAUCUGAUAUUUGUGGGCAUACUUUAUAAUAUUCAUCAAUUUUGUCCCACAUAUUUCCUGCAAAAUGGCAACUGAUGAGCAGGUGGAGAAGACUGCAGCGCAUUCAGAGCUGAUCGACGAUAUAUUGCAGGCUACAAAAGUGACUGCAGCUGAGACAGGUGUUGGCCGACGAGCAUGGUAGCCACGAGUCCCUUCCUCAGCAGUGUGAUCUUGAUGUGAUCGUCUCCGAGUUCGGAUGCGAAUCAUGUGGUGGAUCCCGGUGAGAUGCUCACCAACUAUUUGAUUCAAUGCUUCCAUGAGCCAGCGGUAGAAGCCAAAGAAACGACGCCCAUCCGAGCUCGACUGCAGGCCACAGCUGUGCUUUUCUAUCGCAUGGGGAGUCGACGCCGACUUGCGUGUUUCUCUCCCCUGCAUACAAGUCAAGCUGGAUCUUCGGUGGAUCAAUGUGAUCUCCCUCGGCUUGCUUGGAAUUUGUAGGCGACAGUGCAUCUGUUGCCGAUGUCCCAAAUUGACCGCAAUGUGGGUUGACUUCAUGCAGCCGGUAGUACUCGGCUGGCAAUCCAGUCGAUGGACUUGGCGCCUCCCCAUCAAGAACUAUCUAUCAUCUGAUAGCACCUAUCUUUACUGUCUUAAAUCCAGUGAAUAUUUAGUUUUGAUCGGAGAACUGAUGGUCCUCAUCUCUCAUGCAAUAAGCAGUUAAUAGAUUCAAAUACUCGGGUA